rnacentral:rRNA from 1 species
AACGAACGCUGGCGGCAGGCCUAACACAUGCAAGUCGAACGAAGUCUUCGGACUUAGUGGCGGACGGGUGAGUAACACGUGGGAAACCUACCUAUCGGUACGGAAUAACAGAGGGAAACUUCUGCUAAAUACCGGUAUACGGUCCUUUGGGAGAAAGUUUUUCGCCGAUAGAUGGGCCCGCGUUAGAUUAGGUAGUUGGGUGGGUAAUGGCCUACCAAGCCUACGAUCUAUAGCUGGUUUUAGAGGAUGAUCAGCAAC